CGGGAUGUAGCUCAGCCUGGUAGAGCGCAUGCUUUGGGAGCAUGAUGUCAUCGGUUCGAAUCCGGUCAUCCCGACCA
rnacentral:tRNA from 1 species